UAAAUCCACCGAAUUAAUCGUUGGAUUGCGGGGGAUACUGCUUGGCUAGGGGACGAGAGAGGCAGACGGUAUUUCCGGGGUAGGGGUGAAAUCCUAUAAUCCCGGGAAGACCACCAGUGGCGAAGGCUGUCUGCUAGAACGCGCCCGACGGUGAGGGAUGAAAGCUGGGGGAGCGAACCGGAUUAGAUACCCGGGUAGUCCCAGCUGUAAACGAUGCAGGCUAGGUGUUUGGACGGCCACGUGCCGUUCUAGUGCCGCAGGGAAGCUGUUAAGCCUGCCGCCUGGGGAGUACGAUCGCAAGAUUGAAACUUAAAGGAAUUGGCGGGGGAGCACCACAAGGGGUGAAGCUUGCGGUUUAAUUGGAGUCAACGCCGGAAAUCUCACCGGGAGCGACAGCAGUGUGAAGGCCAGAUUAAAGGUCUUGCCAGACGAGCUGAGAGGAGGUGCAUGGCCGUCGCCAGUUCGUGCCGUGAGGUGUCCUGUUAAGUCAGGCAACGAUCGAGACCCGCAUCCUCUGUUGCAACUAGCCUUGUGCUGGGCACACUGAGGAGACCGCCACUGAUAAAGUGGAGGAAGGAGCGGGCCACGGCAGGUCAGUAUGCCCCGAAUCUCCCGGGCCACACGCGAGCUGCAAUGGCAGGUACAAUGGGUUCCGACCUCGAAAGGGGAAGGCAAUCUCGAAAGCCUGCCGUAGUUGGGAUUGAGGGUUGUAACCCACCCUCAUGAACAUGGAAUCCCUAGUAAUCGCGUGUCACUAGCGCGCGGUGAAUACGUCCCUGCUCCUUGCACACACCCCCCGU
rnacentral:rRNA from 1 species